rnacentral:piRNA from 1 species
UGAUAGUCUCUUUUAAUCAGGAAGCAU